UACGUAGGGUGCGAGCGUUAAUCGGAAUUACUGGGCGUACAGCGUGCGCAGGCGGUUUGCUAAGACCGAUGUGAAAUCCCCGGGCUCAACCUGGGAACUGCAUUGGUGACUGGCAGGCUAGAGUAUGGCAGAGGGGGGUAGAAUUCCACGUGUAGCAGUGAAAUGCGUAGAGAUGUGGAGGAAUACCGAUGGCGAAGGCAGCCCCCUGGGCCAAUACUGACGCUCAUGCACGAAAGCGUGGGGAGCAAACAGG
rnacentral:rRNA from 1 species